CCUACGGGUGGCAGCAGUCGAGAAUCAUUCACAAUGGGGGAAACCCUGAUGGUGCGACGCCGCGUGGGGGAAUGAAGGUCUUCGGAUUGUAAACCUCUGUCAUGUGGGAGCAAAUUAAAAAGAUAGUACCACAAGAGGAAGAGACGGCUAACUAUGUGCCAGCAGCCGCGGUAAUACAGAGGUCUCAAGCGUUGUUCGGCAUCACUGGGCGUAAAGGGUGCGUUGUCUGUUUCGUAAGUCGUGGGUGAAAAGUGCGGGCUCAACCCGCGGAGGGCACAUGAAACUGCGGGACUAGAGUAAGGGAGGGGGAACCGGAAUGCUCGGUGUAGCAGUGAAAUGCGUAGAUAUCGAGAGGAACACUCGUGGCGAAGGCGGGUUCCUGGACAUUAACUGACGCUGAGGCACGAAGGCCAGGGGAGCGAAAGGGAUUAGAUACCCUUGUAGUC
rnacentral:rRNA from 1 species